rnacentral:rRNA from 1 species
UACGGGGGGGGCAAGCGUUGUUCGGAAUUACUGGGCGUAAAGGGCUCGUAGGCGGCCAACUAAGUCAGACGUGAAAUCCCCAGGCUCAACCUGGGAACUGCGUCCGAUACUGGAUGGCUUGAGAUUGGGAGAGGGAUGCGGAAUUCCAGGUGUAGCGGUGAAAUGCGUAGAUAUCUGGAGGAACACCGGUCGCGAAGGCGGCAUCCUGGACCAACACUGACGCUGAUGAGCGAAAUCCACGGUAGCAAACGGG